UACAGAGGUCUCAAGCGUUGUUCGGAUUCAUUGGGCGUAAAGGGCGCGUAGGCGGCCACCGCAAGUCAAUUGUGAAAUCUCCGGGCUUAACUCGGAAAGGUCAACUGAUACUGCGGGGCUAGAGUGCGGAAGGGGCAACUGGAAUUCUCGGUGUAGCGGUGAAAUGCGUAGAUAUCGAGAGGAACACCUGCGGCGAAGGCGGGUUGCUGGGCCGACACUGACGCUGAUGCGCGAAAGCCAGGGGAGCGAACGGG
rnacentral:rRNA from 1 species